rnacentral:rRNA from 1 species
CCUACGGGAGGCAGCAGUGAGGAAUAUUGGUCAAUGGGCGCGAGCCUGAACCAGCCAAGUAGCGUGAAGGAUGACUGCCCUACGGGUUGUAAACUUCUUUUAUAAAGGAAUAAAGUGAGGCACGUGUGCCUUUUUGUAUGUACUUUAUGAAUAAGGAUCGGCUAACUCCGUGCCAGCAGCCGCGGUAAUACGGAGGAUCCGAGCGUUAUCCGGAUUUAUUGGGUUUAAAGGGAGCGGAGAUGGGUGGUUAAGUCAGUUGUGAAAGUGUGCGGCUCAACCGUCAAAUUGCAAUUGAUACUGGCAGCCUUGAGUACAGUUGAGGUAGGCGGAAUUCGUGGUGUAGCGGUGAAAUGCUUAGAUAUCACGAAGAACUCCGAUUGCGAAGGCAGCAUACUAACCUGCCACUGACAUUGAUGCUCGAAAGUGUGGGUAUCAAACAGGAUUAGAUACCCUAGUAGUC